ensembl:lncRNA
CAAAUCUAUAAUUGCAUUUAUUUAUUUUUUAUUCAUGUUUGCUUUAUAAUUAAUAUAACUUCAUAUAUUUUCUCCUGUAAACGCAACAUGACAUGAUGCCUGAUCUCAAUACAUCUAAUCAGAAGAGAAAAGAGGAGGUUCUGAGGAAGACUGCAGAAACAGAGGAGACUGAAUCUACUGUACAGAUGGAAGAAGCCACAGCAGCAACAAACGUAUAUGAUGUGGACGCAGCAUUAGUGCAGCCAGGAGCAGAAGAAGAUGAGGCAGCAGCUGAGGAAGCAGCAAAGAAGGCAGCAGCUGAGGCAACAGCAAAGAAGGCAGUAGCAGAGAAAGCAGAAGCAGCUGCCAAUACAGCAGCUAAGGAAGCAGAAUGUAAGGCAAGAGCUGCUAAGGCAGCAGCAGAUAAGGCAACAGCGGAAAAGGCAGCAGUAGUUGAGGCAGCAGCAGUCAAGAAAGCAGCAGAGCAGGCAGCAGAGCAGGCAGCAGAAGCUUUGAAAGCAGCAGCUCAGGAAACAGCAGAGAAGGCAGCAGCUGCUAAAACAGCAGCUGAGGAAGCAGCAGUGAAGAAAGCAGCAGCUGAGGCAGCAGCAGAGAAGGCAGCAGAAGCUUUAAAAGCAGUUGAGGAAGGAGCAGUGAGGGCAGACACAGCUGAGGAAGCAUCAACUGAGGAAGCUGAAGUAAAGGAAGCAUCAGCUAAGAAAGUAGCAGCUGAGGAAGCAGCAAUAAAGGCAGCAGAAGCUGAAGAAGCAGCAGGGAAGGCAACAGCAGCUGAAGAAGCAGCAGUAAAGGCAACAGUAGCUGAGGAAGCAGCAGUAAAGGCAGCGUCGGCUAAGAAAGUAACAGCUGAGGAAGCAGCAGUAAAGGCAACAAAAGCUGAGGAAGCAGCAGUAAAGGCAACAACAGCUGAGUCAGCAGCAGCAGUUGAGGAAGCAGCCGUGAAGGCAGCAGCAGCUAAGGCAGCAGCAGUGAAGGCAGCAGUAGCUAAUGCAGCAGCAGUAAAGGCAGCAGCAGCAGUGAAUGCUGCAGCAGCAGCAUUGAAGGCAGCAGCAGCUGAGGAGGCAGCAGCAAAGGUAGAAGCAAAGAAGGAAUCAGCAAUAAAGUUAGCAGCAGUGAAGGCAGCAGAAGCAGAUGCAGCAACAGAAAAGGAAAAAUUAGCAAAAACAAAAGCAGCACAGGCAGCACAACGUAACAAAGCAGCAGCACAGAUAGCUCAAAGAAAAGCAGCAGAGGCAAUAUCAGCAUCAGAGGCAGUAAGAGUAAAGGCAGCAGCAGCAGAGGCAGCAGCAGGGAAGGCAGAAGCAGCAAAGGUGAAACAAAGUACGGCAGCAUCAUCAGCAGAGGCAGCAGCAAAAGAGGCUGCAGCAGCAGAAAUGGCAGCAGAGGCAGCAGCACAAGGGGCUGCAGCAGCAAAAGCAGCAGCAGUGACUGCAGCAGAAGCAAAUGCAUUAGCAGCAGAGGAAUCAGCAGUGAAGGCAGCAGUAGCGGCUGCAGCAGCAGCAGAGGAAGCAGAAGCAGAAGCAGAAGCAGCUGAGGCUGCAGCAGUGGUGGCAGCAGCAGCAGAGGAAGCAGCAGCUAAGGCAGCAGCUGUAAAGGCAGCAGUAGAGAAGGCAGCAAACGCAAAGGAAGCAGCAGCAGAGGCAGCAGAAGCAGCAAAGGUAGCAGCAGCAGAUUUGACAGCAGCAGCAGAGGCAGCAGCAAAAGCAGCUGCAGGGAAGGCAGAAGCAGAAAAGGCAGCAGCGUUGACAGCAGAAGCAGCAGAGGCAGCAACAGCGGAGGCAAAAGUAGCAGUUGCGUUAGCAGCGGAGGCAGCUACAGCGAAUGCAAAAGCAGCAAAGGCAGCAGCAGAGGCAGCAGCAUUGGAAACUGCAGCAGCAGAGGCAGCAUCAAAGGCAGCAACUGAAGAGGCGGCAGCAAAGGAAUCAGCAGCAGUACACGCAGUAGCAGAAGCAGUAAGAAAAGCAACGGCAGUAAAAGCAACAGCAGAAGACAAUGAAGCAACAGUAAAGGCUGAAGCAGCAAAGGCAGCAACAGGAGAGGCAGCAAAAGCACAGGCAGCAGCAAAAGGAGUGGCAGCAGCAGCGGGGCAGGCUACAAAAAUAAGGGCAGAAGCAGCAAAAGAAGCAUCUGACAAGGAAAAAGCAGUGAAGGAAUUGGCAAGAAAGGCAGUGGAAGCAUUAACAGCAGCAAAAAAGGCAGCAGUAAUAAAGGCAAAGGCAGCAAAUGAGGCAGCAGCAGAGGCAAAAGCAGCAGAUAUGUCAGCUAAAAAGGCAGCAGCAGCAGAGGAAGAAGCAGUGAAGGCAGCAACAACAAAGGCAGCAGAAGCGAAGGCAGCAGCAGAAAUGGUAUUAACAGCAAAUGCAGAAGCAUUGAAGGCAGAAGAAGCAAAGCAAAUAGCAGAGAAGGCAUCAGCAGCGAAGGCAGCAGCAGCAAAGGCAUCAGCAGCAAAGGCAGCAACAAUGAAGGUAGCAGCAGCAAAGGCAGCAGCAGCUGAGGCAGCAGCUCAGACAGCAGCGAAGGCAGCUGCAGCAGACCCACCAGCAUAUGAAGAAGCAGCAAAUUCAGGUGAGUAUAAAAUAAAAUGUAUUAUGUAAAGAUUAUGAAUUUAUGGAGAAAACAUAAUAUUGGCCUUUUCUUUAGAGAGUAGUUUUCUUCUGUUGGAAUUAAGGGCCGUACUAAAUUUGGACGUUGUGAUGUCAGAUCAGGCAAUGAACCAAUCAGAGUUAGCAAUAUGAUUACAUCACCUUUGCAUUAAAAUCCAUAGUGUUUAAAUUGUUUCAUGCCCUGAAAAAGGCCAAGAUGGCCGCGACGCUUCGGCCUCUGUUUUUAAAUUUUCUUGCCAUGACACAUUAAAGGCUUUUUAAUCAUUUUUCCACAACAAAGUGCCUUUGACUCAUAUUUUUUUCAUACUUUAAUUUUUGCCCGGCUUCAAAAGAGCACCUGUUGGAGAGAUUUACAAUUUUAAUACGCGCUUCAGUCUCAAUCUUUGUCUUUAGUUCUUAUUGGUUUUCUAUGCUCUUCUAUAAAUGAGUUAAGGUCACUUUCUAGAAUUCAAUUGCUAAAGGGUUAAAACUAGCUAUAGUAUUUUAAAUAUCAUUUCCAACACCAGCAUUGCCACAUUUUGAUUAUGUUGGUAUGGAUGAUGCCACUGCCAGACAUUCUGCAAUCUAACAACCAGUAGUAAGAGACUUUAGUGCUGUAAUGUUCACACAUAUUGCAAAAUAGACACAUUGAUGUAUCAAAUGAAACAGUUAACAAAGGUCUAUAAAGAUUAUUAACUAUAUGGUUGGAUAGAAUAAUUAUUUCAUGAUGUGUAUCUUUCAUUAUUUUUCUCCAGAUGUUGAUGGAACAAUACAAUCAGAAACCAGAAAUCAGACUGUACUGGUAAGGUUUUUUAAUAUUCAAUGUUUUUUUUAUAAUCUUAUCUGGAAUAGGUUAUAUGUGGCAUGUUAAAACAAGCUGAUACACUGUGAUAAAAAACUUCUGUUCACCCAUCCUUAAUUGGUGUUAUAUGUGUUUGUCUCUAGUUAUCUAGUCUCUAGUUGCUGUAGACUUAAAUAAAGAAUUUAUUAGUAAUAGUAACA